AACGCAGCGAAGGGCGAUAAGUAAUGUGAAUUGCAGAAUUCAGUGAAUCAUCGAAUCUUUGAACGCACCUUGCACCCUUUGGUAUUCCGAAGGGUACACCCGUUUAAGUGUCAUUGUAAUCUCACCCCUUUGACUUUUUUGUUGAUCGGUGUGGACUUGGAUGUUGCUGUGUAACAAACGGCUCGUCUGAAAUGCCUGAGUGUACCCUGCUUUGCGGCGUAUUUGGUGUGAUAAAUCUUCACCAGAGUUGACUUUUUCAAGUCGCGCUUGUACCUGUGGGCUCUAUGCUUCCAACCGUCCUGACAAGACAAUCUUUGACAAUUUGACCUCAAAUCGGGUGGGACUACCCGCUGAACUUAA
rnacentral:rRNA from 1 species